rnacentral:rRNA from 1 species
UACGUAGGGAGCAAGCGUUUGUCCGGAAUCAUUGGGCGUAAAGCGCGCGUAGGCGGCCCCCGUAAGUCCGCUGUGAAAGUCAAAAGGCUCAACCUUUUGAAAGCCGGUGGAUACUGUGGGGGCUAGAGUACGGAAGAGGCGAGUGGAAUUCCUGGUGUAGCGGUGGAAUGCGCAGAUAUCAGGAGGAACACCAAUAGCGAAGGCAGCUCGCUGGGACGUUACUGAGCUGAGGCGCGAAAGCGUGGGGGAGCGAACAGG